AACGAACGCUGGCGGCAGGCUUAACACAUGCAAGUCGAGCGCCCCGCAAGGGGAGCGGCAGACGGGUGAGUAACGCGUGGGAAUCUACCCAUCUCUACGGAAUAACGCAUGGAAACGUGUGCUAAUACCGUAUACGCCCUUAGGGGGAAAGAUUUAUCGGAGAUGGAUGAGCCCGCGUUGGAUUAGCUAGUUGGUGGGGU
rnacentral:rRNA from 1 species